CCGGCACGGGUGAGUAACGCGUAUGCAACUUGCCUAUCAGGAGGGGAUAACCCGGCGAAAGUCGGACUAAUACCGCAUGAAGCAGGGGCCCCGCAUGGGGAUAUUUGCUAAAGAUUCAUCGCUGAUAGAUAGGCAUGCGUUCCAUUAGGCAGUUGGCGGGGUAACGGCCCACCAAACCGGCGAUGGAUAGGGGUUCUGAGAGGAAGGUCCCCCACAUUGGUACUGAGACACGGACCAA
rnacentral:rRNA from 1 species